GACGGGUGGAAAAUUUGCAUCUACAUUACAUCAUACAUAAACUGUAUAUACAUUGACUUACUAUAUGUUCCAUAUGUUAUGUUUAACUCGCUAUUAAGCUAUCAAUUCUAUAUUUUUCUGUUUGUGCAAUUAUAUAUAAUGAUUUAUAAGUUAGUCUCACACUAAGCCAUUGUAAGUUCAUUCCUCUUUUUCCUUUACC
rnacentral:lncRNA from 1 species